AUUGAACGCUGGCGGCAGGCUUAACACAUGCAAGUCGAACGAGUGGCGGACGGGUGCGUAAUGCUUGGGAAUCUAGCUUAUGGAGGGGGAUAACUACGGGAAACUGUAGCUAAUACCGCGUACCAUAGGAUGAGCCCAAGUGGUAUUAGGUAGUUGGUGAGGUAAAGGCACACCAAGCAGACGAUCUCUAGCUGGUCUGAGAGGAUGACCAGCCACACAGAGAUGGGGACACGGCCCGGACUCCGACGCGAGGGAGGAGUGGGUAAUAUUGCGCAAUGGGGGCAACCUGACGCAGCCAUGCCGCGUGAAUGAAGAAGGCCUUCGGGUUGUAAAGUUCUUUCGGUAGCGAGGCGUUAACUACAGAAGAAGCACCGGCUAACUCCGUGCCAGCAGCCGCGGUA
rnacentral:rRNA from 1 species